CUUUAAUCUGUGACAAUUUGGUGUAAAAACACACAUUUUAUUCCGUAAAUCUGGAAUUGGGUAACAUUUUCCAAGGGUUUCCCUUUUUAGGCCAAAAUAACUAAAAUAUAGAACCGUUUGUAUUUUUAUUUUUUCCAUUUUAUCUAUAUUGUCCUAAAAUUUGCAAUUCUCUUCUCAGUUUCCCAGAAUUCACUGAGUAAACCCAGGGAGCGGCCAUCUUUGGAUGGACAAAGUCCACUUGUAACCAUAUUUUUGCUUUUGUUGACUGUGAAUACGUUUGCUAAGAAUUCUCCUGUUUAAACAAACCAUACUAGCCAAUACUAAG